AGAGUUUGAUCCUGGCUCAGGACGAACGCUGGCGGCGUGCUUAACACAUGCAAGUCGAGCGAUGAGAUCACUUCGGUGAUGGAUUAGCGGCGAACGGGUGAGGAACACGUGAAGAAUCUGCCUUCAACUCUGGGAUAACUCCGGGAAACCGGGGCUAAUACCGGAUAUGAGCCUUGAUCGCAUGAUCGGGGCUGGAAAGUUUUUCGGUUGAAGAUGACUUCGCGGCCUAUCAGCUUGUUGGUGAGGUAAUGGCUCACCAAGGCGACGACGGGUAGCCGGCCUGAGAGGGCGACCGGCCACACUGGGACUGAGACACGGCCCAGACUCCUACGGGAGGCUGCAGUGGGGAAUAUUGGGCAAUGGAGGAAACUCUGACCCAGCGACGCCGCGUGCGGGAUGAAGGCCUUCGGGUUGUAAACCGCUUUCAGCAGGGAAUAAGCGCAAGUGAAGGUACCUGCAGAAGAAGCACCGGCUAACUAUGUGCCAGCAGCCGCGGUAAUACAUAGGGUGCAAGCGUUGUCCGGAAUUAUUGGGCGUAAAGAGCUCGUAGGUGGUUUGUUACGUCGGUUGUGAAAUUCAGGGGCUCAACCCCUGACUUGCAGCCGAUACGGGCAAGCUAGAGUUUGGUAGGGGAGACUGGAAUUCCUGGUGUAGCGGUGGAAUGCGCAGAUAUCAGGAGGAACACCGAUGGCGAAGGCAGGUCUCUGGGCCAAUACUGACACUGAGGAGCGAAAGCGUGGGGAGCGAACAGGAUUAGAUACCCUGGUAGUCCACGCCGUAAACGGUGGGCGCUAGUUGUGCGAACCUUCCACGGUUUGUGCGACGCAGCUAACGCAUUAAGCGCCCCGCCUGGGGAGUACGAUCGCAAGAUUAAAACUCAAAGGAAUUGACGGGGCCCCGCACAAGCAGCGGAGCAUGCGGCU
rnacentral:rRNA from 1 species